rnacentral:tRNA from 1 species
UCCCUGGUGGUCUAGUGUUUAGAACUCGGCACUUUCACUGCUGAUGCCUGGAUUUAAUCCCUGGUCUGGGAA